UUAGAACAGUGCUUGGCACAUAGCAAGCGUUUAGCAAAUACCAUUAUUAUUAGAGGAGGCUGAGGGAGUAUGCAAAACCCAGUAGGUGUUUAAUGGACCAGUAGAAUCAGACCAGAAGGUGGAUAUCCAGAUAACUUGAAGAUGUUCGAGAAAACCCAAAGGUGAUAAUUUUCUUUUUACUUCUAUGUUGGAACUUGCUUUUGCAUGGUAAAUUAGGAAAACCCCUACAGCUGAAUAUAAUUUGAUUUCCAAAGUUUGGUGGUUACCUUUAAUCUGAAUUUUUACAUAUCCAACUAUUUAGUAACUGUUCUAGGAAAAAAAAUCACUUGAAUACUAACAAUCUGCCCAGUGCCUAAGGACCCUCACACUUUUUCCAGUCUUUUUUACCCCGAUCACUUUUUCUUUUUUCCCUGGUCCCUCUCUUCUGCUCUUCUAUUUCCUGGCAGUGAACAGUCUGCAGCAGCAGCUUUGGGGAGCCCCAGGUGUUCCUGAAGAAAAAGGAGAUGCAGCUAAGAAAGAUGACUCAUUGGACAAUGGGGCACCAUAAAGACGGGCAUAGCCAGGCUCCUGGUAGCUGGAGGGAGCCACAUUGGCAAGGGUGUGAACAAGACAUAGCUUUCUGGUUUGGAGAACGGUUUGCCUGACACUUUUACUCCUGCAACCUUCUCCAACUACUCAAAAGUGGCGGGGCAGGCAGCCACAGGCUCUCUCCUCUGUCAGGAACCAUACAGAGCAGCAGCAGGCUGCUGGUAUUGCCCGAAUCUCGUGAGUUAUUUCACCAGCUCCCUUUCUGUGGUGCCUUUGGGGUGGUUUGGCCCAACCUAAAUAGGUUUUGUUUCUUUUGAGCCAGUUAAUUUUCCUCAGUAUAAUGAAACCUAAACUCAGUCAUACAAAUGGGUAGGAGAUAUGUUUCAAACUGGUUUAAUACUCUAGUCAAGAAGCAACCCAACUGGGACCCUAUUGAGUGCCAAAUAACCCUGUUGUAGAUGAUGCCAUAGGUGGUGACUGACUAAGUGGGUGAAAUAGGGGAAGCAGGCAUGAAUUUGUCUCCCUCAGGCCAGCCCCACUUCUCACAUUAGUGGGGCAUCAGCGACAAUGGGGUAUUGAUGGUCUGCCCUCCCAACCCUAAUCUUGUUGCAGUGGUUGACCUUCUGUUAUAGAAGAGUUUCCUCCUCUUCCUUCCCUGCCAAGGAAAAUGAAGAGUACAUGGUUUCCCAAACCCAGGCCAUUCACCCCUUCUACCCAGUCCCCAGCUACCUCCUUACCUGCUGCCUUCAAAAUGACCAGUGAUUUUUUUGCGGGGGGAGGUGUGGUCGGAGGGGGGGGUGGGGGAAUGUCGGCAUUUCUGUCCAUCGUUGGCAUGUAUUUGCAUGUUUUUGUCACCUGUGCACAGCAUCUCUUUGGGUUGCAUGUGCAUAUAUGCAUGUAGUUAAGGUAGAAGAUACCUCUACUAUGUCUCUCCAGGGUUACAAAGUAAGACAACAUGCAGCCUGGAGGGGACCUUCUCAUGAAUUACCCAGCGGAUUUGACUGCCUUGGUUUUCUGCUUCCCUUUGGCUAUGGAGAUGUGGCCCGCGUGUAUUGGUAACAACUUCGUUCCAUGUCAUAUUGACCGCACUUAUGAAAUAGCACCCUGAGGUAGACUGAAACACCAAGAAAACAUCAUUUUAAUUUUUACAUUUAAAUGAAGUUGUGAAGAAAGAAUUACUCUUUCAUGUGGCCAGUGAGUUGGUGGGCUGCUCAAAUUCUUCUAAAUGUAAGAGCCACUUAGUGAGGGCACUAGAUCAGCCAUUUGGAGAAAAUCUGUCUUUGGAAUGUCAGUUGCUCAUGACUGGGCAACUUCUAGCCACUUGCUAUUUGGAAAGGAUGAGGAUUUCCAGAGCAGAAGUCUCUCGCUCACACUAAUCCUAAACCUAAGAGGGCAGAAUCCACCCUUUCUCCCAUUUGGCUAAAAUGACUGAUUAUGUACUGUCCGUAGACUACAGGCUAUGAUAUACUACCUGUAGACUAAUUCCUAGCUUUGAAAACAUCAUUCAAAUGAAUUACCCUCUAAGUUCACUAUUCACCCGAGUUUGAGUGUCAAGUGUCUUGUGUGAGCCUGUAAGAUGCUGACAAGUAUGAUUCCAUUUUAGAGAUUGUGACUUUAUAAAGGCUUGUGGAUAUGACUAAUAGAGAACUGUUGCACAUCUUAGGACAAGAUUUUAAUAGCCCCUAAUGCUGCAUCUGAUCUGUCUUGUGAUCACUAUUUUUAAGAGUGAUUGGAUAGACAAACCCUGUGUUGCCCUCAUGCUUCCCUUUGGGGUUUAAUAGUCAGUAGAUAUUACCCCAGAUGUAAUUUGUUGAAUUAUGAUGUAGGGUUGGAUGUCUUCAACUGAUUUUUUCCCUGCUUUCUUCCCACUACCAUUUAAGAACUGUACAGAAAUUUCUCCAAGCACGCUUUGUUACCGUCAGCCACAAAGUACUGGGCCUAAAUGAACCUUUCAUUAGGCCUAUCACAGCAUUACAUAUGGUCUCAGUGAUGAAUCCUCGGGUUUGAGUGCUGGAUCAGGCAAGGUUAUCAAUAACAAUCACAGUGAAUACCUUGCAGUCAAGCAUGCUCACAACAAAUUCCUGCUGGCUAACCCCAAGAACUUUCUCUGACUGUAUUGAUAACUUGAUCGUUGGAGUUUCACAGUGGUCAAUACCAACUUCCACGCAGCUCGGUGAGGAUUGGCCCCGACGCCGUUAUCCUUAGGACUCUACCUGCUCCUCUGAAUGCCUCAGCCACCAUUAGCUCCAUGGAUUUUUUUGGCUAAAAGGGGCAUGAACCUGGUGGCAUCCUGAAAGAAGCCUAACUGAAGUAGCACCUGCUUCUGGGGUGGAGUUGAAGUGGUUCGGAAGAAUCUGCUGCAGUUUUUUAUAUCAUCAGCAGUUGGCAUAUGAUUCUUCACAUAUGUAAUUCUGCUCAAUGUAGUGAGUGCAUUUCUCCUCUCCAACUGGAUACCUGUGCCUACUAACUUUAAAUAAUUUUUAGACUGGUGCAGUUUUUCAUGUGUGGUACACCACCUGGAAAAAGAUGUUAAAGUGACACCAUCACUUGGAAGCAGGAAAGGUAACCUUACAAAAAGGCACUCUGGGGAUUUAUCCAAAGGCCAUUUAGUUUGGGUAAAUAGUAAUUUCAAGGAAUUCUCUUUUCUGAUGGCCUCAUUUGUCUCAUCCAAAAAGCCUCCUACGUACUGUGUCUGACAGCCAAUUCCACCUAACCAAAGUCAUAUUUUAUCUGAAAAAUCUGAUGUUUGGUGCAGCUCACCAAACUGCUCCCAUAAACCAACAUUUAUCCCAUAAAUAUUUUCUAAAGUCAGUUACUAUCCAUUUCUUCCCAAACAGACCUAUUUACUCUUGCCAAACUAUUGUGUGACCACAUGACCAACAUCUGUGCUUUUGGGGAGCCAGUCUAAGCCAUCUUACUGUAACUUGCUUUGCUUUCCUCACUCAGGUUCAUAAUAAUGGGUUGCUCUUAGAGUUAGGUUUGGCUGCCUGAAGGACUGUGGGUUGGUUCGACCCCUUCUACACAACACAACCGUUUGAAAGUCUCAUGGUGUGGCACCCAGUUGAUGAAAGGCCUGAAAAAGAAGAAAGUUAAAGAAGGUCUCCUUCAGAGGCUGGGUGGGGAAGACUGAACCAUGUAGCCCCAAGCUGCCAAAUCACCAGUCCUCUGAGUUUACAGAGGAAGCCCCAACCUUCCACCUUCUGCUAGGAAGAAGAUCCACCCUUUCUUGAGUGGAGGGUGGGAUGAAACUGCCUGUCACAGCACAUAGCAUUUUGGAAAUGUGAGUUUUGAUAAGGAUGUCUCUUCCUGGAGCAGUGAAGUGGCCAGUGACGUUCCUUCUUUCUCCAAGCAGUAAUGACGGUUCAUUUUUUUGUCACCAGGGAAUUGCCAACGUUAACGUAUUUUAACUUUUUUUGAGCUUUGUGUUUUCCCUCCCCAUUUUAGAGUGUGAGCCCCCCUGUAGGCAGGGACUGUGCCUUAAUGUCCAUGUAUUUUUCUAGUAUUUUUAGUACAGUGCCUUGCACACGAUAUGGAUUUAAAAUGUGAUUGUGAUUGAUUCCUGAUACUCUAGAUCAUUAUUAAUGAUUACUAAUGUAUGUCAAGCAACCUAGAAAAUAAGUACAAGCUAGUAGCAACAUGAUCUGAUUUGUUUUAUUUACUUAUUGGGUGAUUUUAAAUAACUGGAUUUAAGAAGAAAA